CACGUAGGAGGCGAGCGUUGUCCGGAAUCAUUGGGCGUAAAGAGCGCGCAGGCGGCUUGGCAAGUCGGGUGUGAAAUCCCGGGGCUCAACCCCGGGACUGCAUUCGAUACUGUCAGGCUAGAGGUAGGUAGGGGAGAUCGGAAUUCCUGGUGUAGCGGUGAAAUGCGCAGAUAUCGGGAGGAACACCGGUGGCGAAGGCG
rnacentral:rRNA from 1 species